GACGAACGCUGGCGGCGUGCUUAACACAUGCAAGUCGUACGGCCGUAUUCUGCUUUCGGGUGGGGUGUGGUAGUGGCGUACGGGUGAGUAUCACGUGAGUAACCUGCCCUCAACUUCGGGAUAAGCUUGGGAAACUGGGUCUAAUACUGGAUGUUUUACUGUCUGCUGCAUGGUGGGUGGUGGAAAGGUCUUUGGACUGGUUGGGGAUGGGCUCGCGGCCUAUCAGCUUGUUGGUGGGGUGAUGGCCUACCAAGGCUUUGACGGGUAGCCGGCCUGAGAGGGUGUCCGGCCACACUGGGACUGAGACACGGCCCAGACUCCUACGGGAGGCAGCAGUGGGGAAUAUUGCGCAAUGGACGGAAGUCUGACGCAGCGACGCCGCGUGGGGGAUGAAGGCCUUCGGGUUGUAAACCUCUUUCGACAGUGACGAAGUUUCUCUUUGGAGGGGUGACGGUAGCUGGAGAAGAAGUACCGGCCAACUACGUGCCAGCAGCCGCGGUAAUACGUAGGGUACUAGCGUUGUCCGGAUUUAUUGGGCGUAAAGAGCUCGUAGGCGGCGCGUUGCGUCGGGAGUGAAAUUCUGCUGCUUAACGGUGGGGUUGCUUUCGGUACGGGCGUGCUUGAGUGCGGUAGGGGAGACUGGAAUUCCUGGUGUAGCGGUGAAAUGCGCAGAUAUCAGGAGGAAACACCGGUGGCGAAGGCGGUUCUUCUGGGCUGUUACUGACGCUGAGGAGCGAUAGCAUGGGGAGCGAACAGGAUUAGAUACCCUGUAGUCUAUGCUGUAAACGUUGGGCGCUAGGUGUGGGGGACUGGUUCACGGUUUUCUUGUGCCGUAGCC
rnacentral:rRNA from 1 species